GAUGAACGCUGGCGGCGUGCCUAAUACAUGCAAGUCGAGCGAACAGACGAGUAUCUUGCUCCUCUGACGUUUGCCGCUGACGUGUGAGUAACACGUGUAUAACCUCCCUAUUAGUCUGUUAUACCUUCGGGAACCCGUUGCUAAUACCGUCUAAUUUCUUGAACCGCAUGGUUCCAUUGUGAAAUUCGGUUUUUCUGUCUCUUAUAGAUGGAUCCGCGCCGCAUUAGCUAGUUGUUAAGGUAACGGCUUACCAAGGCUACGAUGCGUAGCGGACCUGAGAGGGGGAUAGGCCACACUGGAACGGAGACACGGACAAGACUCCUACGGGAGGCAGCAGUAGGGAAUAUUGGGCAAUGGGCGAAAGCAUGACGGAGCAAGGCCGCGUGAGUGAAGAAGGUCUUCGGAUCGUAAAACACUGUUAUUAGGGAAGAAAAAAUGUGGAAGAAAAUAUGCAGGUGAUGACGGUACCGAAAGAGAAAGCAACGGCUAACUACGUG
rnacentral:rRNA from 1 species